AUUGAACGCUGGCGGCAGGCCUAACACAUGCAAGUCGAACGAGUGGCGGACGGGUGGAUAAUUUCUUGGCAACUGCCCGAUGGAGGGGGCUAACUACUAUAACCGUUAGCUAAUACCGCAUACCAUCGGAUGUGCCCAGAUGGGAUUAGCUAGCAGGUGGGGUAACGGCUCACCUAGGCGACGAUCCCUAGCUGGCCUGAGAGGAUGAACAGCCACACGGGGACUGAGACACGGCCCAGACUCCUACGGGAGGCAGCAGUGGGGAAUCUUCGACAAUGGGCGAAAGCCUGAUGGAGCCAUGCCGCGUGUAUGAAGAAGGCUUUCGGGUUGUAAAGCACUGUUAGUAGGGAGGCGGUAUCCACCCAAGAAGCAACGGCUAACUACGUGCCAGCAGCCGCGGUAAUAC
rnacentral:rRNA from 1 species